rnacentral:lncRNA from 1 species
UUUCGAAUUAUACUAUUUCGAAAUUCAAACUCUAAACCCUAAAACUCAACUCUAAACCCUAAACCAUCAAUCCUAAACCCUAUUUUUUUUGAAAUACGAACCCUAAACCCUAAACCAUCAAUCUUAAACACUAUUUUGUUUAAAUACGAACCCUAAACCCCGAAACAUCAACUUUAAACCCUAAACCCCGAAACAUCAACUCUAAACCCUAAACCUUCGACUUUAAACCCUAAAACAUCAACUUUAAACCCUAAACCCUAAACUUAAACUUUAAGCCCUAAACCAUCAACACUAAACCCUAAACUAUCAUCACUAAACCUUAAACCCUAAAAAGUAAACUCUAAACCCUAAACCCUAAAAAAUUAACCCUAAACCCUAAAACAUCAACUCUAAACCCUAAACCUUCAACUCUAAACACUAAAAUUUAAACCCUAAAUCCUAAACCCUAAAUCCUAAACCCUAAACCUAAACCCUAAACCCUAAAACCCUAGAGUUGAUGUUUUAGGGUUUAUAUUUGAAGGUUUAGAGUUUUAGGGUUUAGGGUUUGCGUUUAUGGUUUAGAGUUGAUGUUUUAGGGUUUAGAUUUGAAGGUUUAGGGUUUUAGGGUUUAGGGUUCGAAUAUCAGAAAAGUAUAGGGUUUAGGGUUUACGUUUAGGGUUUAGAGUUGAUGUUUUAGGGUUUAGAUUUGAAGGUUUAGGGUUUAGAGUUGAUGUUUUGGGGUUUAGGGUUUAGACUUGAUGUUUCAUGGUUUAAGGUUUAGAGUUGAUGAUUUAGGGUUUAAAGUUGAUGUUUUAAGUUUAGAUUUAGGGUUUAGGGUUUACGUUUAGGGUUUGGAGUUGAUGUUUUAGGGUUUAGAUUUGAAGGUUUAUGGUUUAGGGUUUAGGGUUUAAAGUUGAUGUUUCGGGGUUUAGGGUUUAGAGUUAUGUUUCGGGGUUUAGGGUUUAGAGUUAUGUUUCGGGGUUUAGGGUUUACAGUUGAUGAUUUAGGAUUUAAAGUUGAUGUUUUAAAUUUAGAUUAGUUAACCAUUUAUUUAUUUUUUUGUCAAAGUUAAUCAAAAUGUUAUAAACGUUUUUUAUCCUUCAUUAAAGGUGAGGAUAAAAA